rnacentral:rRNA from 1 species
GAUGAACGCUGGCGGCGUGCCUAAUACAUGCAAGUCGAGCGAACAGGCGAGGAGCUUGCUCCUCUGACGUUAGCGGCGGACGGGUGAGUAACACGUGGAUAACCUACCUAUAAGACUGGGAUAACUUCGGGAAACCGGAGCUAAUCCCGGAUAAUAUAUUGAACCGCAUGGUUCAAUAGUGAAAGACGGCUUUGCUGUCACUUAUAGAUGGAUCCGCGCCGCAUUAGCUAGUUGGUAAGGUAACGGCUUACCAAGGCAACGAUGCGUAGCCGACCUGAGAGACUGAUCGGCCACACUGGAACUUAGACACGGUCCAGACUCCUACGGGAGGCAGCAGUAGGGAAUCUUCCGCAAUAGGCGAAAGCUUGACGGAGCAACGCCGCGUGAGUUAUGAAGGUCUUCGGAUCGUAAAGCUCUGUUAUUAGGGAAGAACAAAUGUGUAAGUAACUAUGCACGUCUUGACGGUACCUAAUCAGAAAGCCACGGCUAACUACGUG